CCUGACUGCUAUCGGAUUGAUACUAAGCCAUGCGAGUCAUUGUAGCAAUACAAGGCAUACUGCUCAGUAACACGUGGAUAACCUGCCCUACACUGGGGGAUAAUCUCGGGAAACUGAGCAUAAUACCCCAUAGACCACUACGCCUGGAACGGUGAGUGGUUGAAAGCUUCGGCGGUGUAGGAUGGGUCUGCGGCGUAUCAGGUUGUAGGGGGUGUAAUGGACCUCCUAGCCAUCGACGCGUACGGGUUGUGGGAGCAAUAGCCCGGAGACGGAUUCUGAGACACGAAUCCGGACCCUACGGGGUGCAGCAGGCGCGAAAACUUCACACUGCAGGAAACUGUGAUGAGGGAACUCCAAGUGACUGCACAAUGUGUAGCCUUUUCUUGAAUUUUAAUAGUUCUUGGAAUAAGGGCUGGGAAAGACCGGUGCCAGCCGCCGCGGUAAUACCGGCAGCUCGAGUGGUCGUCGCUUUUAUUGGGCCUAAAACGUCCGUAGCCUGUUUGGUAAAUCUGUGGGUAAAUCAAUCCGCUUAACGGAUUGAAUUCUGCAGAGACUGCCAGACUAGGGACCGGGAGAGGUAUGAGGUACUCUGGGGGUAGGGGUAAAAUCCUGUCAUCCUCAGAGGACCACCUGUUGCGAAGGCGUCAUACUGGAACGGAUCCGACGGUCAGGGACGAAGCCUAGGGGCACGAACCGGAUUAGAUACCCGGGUAGUCCUAGGUGUAAACGCUGUGGAUUUGGUGUGUGGGGUCCGCAAUGGGCCCCAUGUGCCGGAGUGAAGAUGUUAAAUCCACUGCCUGGGGAGUACGGUCGCAAGGCUGAAACUUAAAGGAAUUGGCGGGGGAGCACUGCAACGGGAGGAGCGUGCGGUUCAAUUGGAGUCAACGCCAGAAAUCUUACCCGGAGAGACAGCAGAAUGAAGGUCAAGCUGAAGACUUUACCAGACAAGCUGAGAGGUGGUGCAUGGCCGUCGCCAGCUCGUGCCGUGAGAUGUCCUGUUAAGUCAGGUAACGAGCGAGAUCCCUGCCUCUAGUUGCCACCAUUACUCUCAGGAGUAGUGGGGCGAAUUAGCGGGACCGCCGCAGUUAAUGCGGAGGAAGGAAGGGGCCACGGCAGGUCAGUAUGCCCCGAAACUCUGGGGCCACACGCGGGCUGCAAUGGUAGCGACAAUUGGUUUCGAAUCCGAAAGGAUGAGGUAAUCCACAAACGCUACCACAGUUAUGACUGAGGGCUGCAACUCGCCCUCACGAAUAUGGAAUCCCUAGUAACUGCGUGUCAUUAUCGCGCGGUGAAUACGUCCCUGCUCCUU
rnacentral:rRNA from 1 species